GGGGCAUUGGCCCGCUUGAAUUUGCAUAGCGGUCUUGAAAACCGGCGGACGUUAAUAGCGUCUCCAGGGUUCGAAUCCCUGGUUUCCCGCCA
rnacentral:tRNA from 1 species